UGCCCCACCUGCUGACCACCCUC
rnacentral:miRNA from 1 species